CCGCAAAACAUUGCUGAAUAGUGAGCCAAUCUUGAUUUUCAGUGCGUUUAUUAUCAAAUCUAGUUUAUGAUCUAUAAAUGUAUAGUGUAUAUAGAUACCACUGGCUGUAAUGCGUAUAUCCAGCUGCUAUUUGUAAGCAGCUAUCACGGCAUGCUGGUAGAUGUUGUUCAGCAACGUCUGGGGAGAAGUCUUAUCGCCUGAGCUAUAGACAGAGGUUUAUCUGAAAUUUUUAUAUAUACAGCUGUGUGACGCAGUUCACUCCGGAAAGGGAAGAACUGCUACACGUGUAUGUACGGCAGCACUGUUGAGACGUAUAUGAGGAUGUUGGAGGGUAACGUGAAACUCGUGAUUUGAUCACAUGAUCUGAAUGAUAUUCUGUAGAUAAUGUAAGAAUUGUUUUAUCCUUUGCUACUGCAGGUUUCAUGGUGUUCCCGGGAUGUUUGCUUACUUUCUCCUCCUUGCACAAUACUAAAUUGUUAUAUUUAUUUUCAGGAUUGUUUCCAAAUAAAAAAUGCUGCCAAAA